ACGUAGGAGUCAGAAAAUACAAAAAUACAAAAAUACCAUAAUAUAAAAAGAAAGUGGGCCGCAAAUAACCUGCUAUUGAUUCUUGUUGCAUGCGAAGAUAUCGAUAGGUGAUACCCCAUAGAAGCGGUGAGGAGGAAAGAAGUUUAAACAGAGUGGCAAGGCCAAAAUUUAAGGGGAAAAGGUUAGCGAAGAGUGGCGCCACCUGGUCCUGGAGAGUGAGAGUUCCGCGCGCUCUCCAGAGCCGUUAUGAGAGAAAUAUUUCCGAUCUCAUCCCAUAACGGAGUCCCGAAGCCAACUCACCCAUACCCCAAAGAAAAGAGAGCCGCCAGCAGCCCGAAUCAGGCCAUGCCCUUGAACCUAGUUCAAGGGCGAUAGAAGAGAGAGCGAUGGGGAUCAGCGGCCCGGGAGCAUUAAACAGAGCAGCUAAGCCAAGAGGGGGUGCAGAGAAAGAAAUUCCCGCAACGGAGGAGCAUGCGCGCCGGACUUAGUGAUCUAGUGAUUUUUUUUUGUUCUGAAAGAAAAAGGGAUCCAGAUCAGUGAGAGACCAGGAACCAGGACUAGCGGGACGGGAAAGAGACCCAAGAAGCAUAAGAGGAAUAUGUCACAGCUCCGCCAUCCUGGCUUGCUUUUUGCUGGGCUCGAAGACAGAAUCCUGGCCACGUAGAGCGGGUCCCUCGCCCAUUUAGGGAGAGAAAAAAAAAGCAUCAAUCAACUUAUUUACUCCCAUUAUUUAUUU